rnacentral:rRNA from 1 species
UACGUAGGCAGCGAGCGUUGUUCGGAGUUACUGGGCGUAAGGCGUGCGUAGGCGGUUGUCUAAGUUUGGUGUGAAAUCUCCUGGCUUAACUGGGAGGGUGCGCCGAAAACUGGGUGACUGGAGUGUCGGAGAGGUAAGCGGAAUUCCUGGUGUAGCGGUGAAAUGCGUAGAGAUCAGGAGGAACACCUGUGGUGUAGACAGCUUACUGGACGAUAACUGACGCUGAGGCACGAAAGCGUGGGUAGCAAACAGG